rnacentral:rRNA from 1 species
GACGAACGCUGGCGGCGUGCUUAACACAUGCAAGUCGAACGGUGAUGCUCCAGCUUGCUGGAGUGGAUCAGUGGCGAACGGGUGAGUAACACGUGAGCAACCUGCCCCAGACUCUGGAAUAAGCGCUGGAAACGGCGUCUAAUACUGGAUACGAAACUGGCCCGCAUGGGCAUGGUUUGGAAAGUUUUUCGGUUUGGGAUGGGCUCGCGGCCUAUCAGCUUGUUGGUGAGGUACUGGCUCACCAAGGCGACGACGGGUAGGCGGCCUGAGAGGGCGACCGGCCACACGGGGACUGAGACACGGCCCAGACUCCUACGGGAGGCAGCAGGGGGGAAUAUUGCACAAUGGGCGAAAGCCUGAUGCAGCGACGCCGCGUGAGGGAAGACGGCCUGCGGGUUGUAAACCUCUUUCAGCAGGGAAGAAGCGAAAGUGACGGUACCUGCAGAAGAAGCACCGGCUAACUACGUG